UACGAAGGGGGCUAGCGUUGCUCGGAAUCACUGGGCGUAAAGCGCACGUAGGCGGAUUGCUAAGUCAGGGGUGAAAUCCUGGAGCUCAACUCCAGAACUGCCCUUGAUACUGGCGGUCUCGAGUCCGGGAGAGGUGAGUGGAACUGCGAGUGUAGAGGUGAAAUGCGCAGAUAUCAGGAAGAACACCAAUGGCGAAGGCAGCUCGCUAGGACGGUACUGACGCUGAGGCGCGAAAGCGUGGGGAGCAAACAGG
rnacentral:rRNA from 1 species